UACAGAGGUGGCAAGCGUUGUUCGGAAUUACUGGGCGUAAAGAGCGCGUAGGCGGAAAUUUAAGCGUGGCCUGAAAGCCCCCCGGCUCAACCGGGGAGUGCGGCUGCGAACUGGGUUUCUUGAGGACGAUAGAGGAGAGUGGAAUUCCUGGUGUAGCGGUGAAAUGCGUAGAUAUCAAGAGGAACACCCGAGGCGAAGGCGGCUCUCUGGGUCGUACCUGACGCUGAGGCGCGAAAGCGUGGGGAGCGAACGGG
rnacentral:rRNA from 1 species